AUUGAACGCUGGCGGAAUGCCUUACACAUGCAAGUCGAACGGUAGAGGGGGCAACCCCUCGAGAGUGGCGAACGGGUGAGUAAUAUAUCGGAACGUGCCCAGUCGUGGGGGAUAACGUAGCGAAAGUUACGCUAAUACCGCAUACGAUCUAAGGAUGAAAGCGGGGGAUCGCAAGAGCUCGCGCGAUUGGAGCGGCCGAUAUCAGAUUAGGUAGUUGGUGGGGUAAGGCUCACCAAGCAAACGAUCUGUAGCUGGUCUGAGAGGACGACCAGCCACACUGGAACUGAGACACGGUCCAGACUCCUACGGGAGGCAGCAGUGGGGAAUUUUGGACAAUGGACGCAAGUCUGAUCCAGCCAUUCCGCGUGCAGGAUGAAGGCCCUCGGGUUGUAAACUGCUUUUGUACGGAACGAAAAGGUCUCUCUUAAUACGGGGGACUCAUGACGGUACCGUAAGAAUAAGCACCGGCUAACUACGUGCCAGCCGCCGCGGUAA
rnacentral:rRNA from 1 species